AUACUAUGAUGGUUGCAUAGUUCAACAGGUUGAAUUUAUAAAGAGAUUUACAAUUAUAAUAUUGAAUGU